rnacentral:rRNA from 1 species
UAGGGAAUAUUGCACAAUGGGCGAAAGCCUGAUGCAGCAACGCCGCGUGCGCGAAGAAGGUCUUCGGAUCGUAAAGCGCUUUUUGGGGAGAUGAGGAAGGACAGUAUCCCCAGAAUAAGGCUCGGCUAACUACGUGCCAGCAGCCGCGGUAAAACGUAGGAGCCAAGCGUUAUCCGAAUUCACUGGGCGUAAAGCGCGUGCAGGCGGUCUGGUAAGUUGGAUGUGAAAUCUCCUGGCUCAACUGGGAGAGGCCGUUCAAUACUGUCAGACUAGAGGGCGACAGAGGGAGGUGGAAUUCCGGGUGUAGUGGUGAAAUGCGUAGAUAUCCGGAGGAACACCAGAGGCGAAGGCGACCUCCUGGGUCGCACCUGACGCUCAGACGCGAAAGCUAGGGGAGCGAACGGGAUUAGAAACCCCGGUAGUCCUAGCCGUAAACGAUGUAGACUGGGUGUUGGCGGGGUAAAAGCCGUCAGUGCCGAAGCAAACGCGAUAAGUCUACCG